CUUUUUGCAGGUGCAGCAUCUUCAAGAUUCACAUAUAUUUAUAUAUGUAGAGUUUCAUGGUUAUAUGGACUCUAUUAAUUAUUUGACGUGAGAAUCUUGAUGAUGCUGCAGCAGCAAUGAA
rfam:Capsicum annuum cultivar Zunla-1 chromosome 5, whole genome shotgun sequence